GAAGCCUGGGUGAAAUUAAAAGCAUGUUUAAAUUUAAGGACAAACCCAACUCUUACUUUUUCCAAAAAGAUAUAUAUUAUAUUUCAAAUAUUUGUGUACAUACUAAUUAUAUCAUACAGCCUGUUCACAACCUUUUUUUCCAUUUUUAAACAGUGGCACAGUGUUUGCUUCAGUAAAGCCGUUCACACUACACUUUUUAAACCCUUCAACAUCCAGGAGCUGCUAGCGGACGCAAGUUUCCAUUCCAUGCUGCUACUCCCCCUUAUACUAGUGCUCGGAGGAAAGCACAGCGACUCGGUUUUAAUACAUCAGCUCACAGACGCCUUGUGCUGAGGACCAUCACCCUUUGGAGUGAUGAGAGGAAAGAGCGCCAUCUACCCACCCAGAGAGAGAGCAAGGCCAGUUGUGCUCUUUCAGGGCUCCGGCAGCUGGUGGCAAGCUGCAUGAACGGGAUUCGAACCAGCAAUCUAUCGAUCAUAAUGGCAGUGCUUAACCCACUGGAACACUCUGAUUAAUCUUACUGUAAACUUUUUUUAUUACAGUGUAGUUUUUUUUCCCAAUAGUUAGCUUAUGCAGAAAAAAGCAAAUAGCUAGCAUUAAAGAUAAGAAGCAGGGUGUUCUACUUAAAAUUUCCUAAUUGGACCGCAUGGAUGGAACGCAGCAUGAGUAUGUACAGUAUCUUUCAUCCUUGAGUAUACUCUAACACUUUAACAUUUAUUUAUAAUACUUACACUACAAAAGUUUUAGAACACCCCUAUAUUUUAGUUAUCCAGUAGCCAUUCUGCAUGACCCUGACAAGUUGCUUUUUUAUCUUAGAAAUUACUUUUUUUUUACUGUUUAUUACUGGUAAAACUAGUUAGUAAUGAUAACUAGUAUGCAAUUGGGACAGGGCACAUCCAACAUCUUAAUACAUUAACUGUGGGUAUGCAAGCAGUGGGUGGUUUUGGGGUUUCCUAAUGGCUGUAGUAAGAACUUUGCAUUGUCUAUGUGGUGUAGUGGGAAAAUAAUAAUGAAUGAGAAACAUAUUAAACAUGGAAAUAACAUAUAAAUGUACGUUUUAUUCUAAAAGCAACUAACUUCAGAAAAUCCUUGUGUAAUUACUGAUUAACACACCUUGGCAGUUAAUUUGGAUAAAGCUAUGUCUGUAACAGAACUCAAUGGAAGCCAACAAAAUUUGACAUGUAAACAAUUAAAAUAAUAGUUAAAAAAAG
rnacentral:lncRNA from 1 species